AUUGAACGCUGGCGGCAGGCCUAACACAUGCAAGUCGAACGGUAGCAGGAAGCAGCUUGCUGCUUUGCUGACGAGUGGCGGACGGGUGAGUAAUGUCUGGGAAACUGCCUGAUGGAGGGGGAUAACUACUGGAAACGGUAGCUAAUACCGCAUAACGUCGCAAGACCAAAGAGGGGGACCUUAGGGCCUCUUGCCAUCGGAUGUGCCCAGAUGGGAUUAGCUAGUAGGUGGGGUAACGGCUCACCUAGGCGACGAUCCCUAGCUGGUCUGAGAGGAUGACCAGCCACACUGGAACUGAGACACGGUCCAGACUCCUACGGGAGGCAGCAGUGGGGAAUAUUGCACAAUGGGCGCAAGCCUGAUGCAGCCAUGCCGCGUGUAUGAAGAAGGCCUUCGGGUUGUAAAGUACUUUCAGCGGGGAGGAAGGGAGUAAAGUUAAUACCUUUGCUCAUUGACGUUACCCGCAGAAGAAGCACCGGCUAACUCCGUG
rnacentral:rRNA from 1 species